rnacentral:rRNA from 1 species
CCUACGGGUGGCAGCAGUCGAGAAUCAUUCACAAUGGGGGAAACCCUGAUGGUGCGACGCCGCGUGGGGGAAUGAAGGUCUUCGGAUUGUAAACCCCUGUCAUGUGGGAGCAAAUUAAAAAGAUAGUACCACAAGAGGAAGAGACGGCUAACUCUGUGCCAGCAGCCGCGGUAAUACAGAGGUCUCAAGCGUUGUUCGGAAUCACUGGGCGUAAAGCGUGCGUAGGCUGUUUCGUAAGUCGUGUGUGAAAGGCGCGGGCUCAACCCGCGGACUGCACUUGAUACUGCGAGACUAGAGUAAGGGAGGGGGAACCGGAAUUCUCGGUGUAGGAGUGAAAUGCGUAGAUAUCGAGAGGAACACUAGUGGCGAAGGCGGGUUCCUGGACAUUAACUGACGCUGAGGCACGAAGGCCAGGGGAGCGAAAGGGAUUAGAUACCCCGGUAGUC